rnacentral:misc_RNA from 1 species
GAUGAAGAACGCAGCGAAAUGCGAUAAGUAAUGUGAAUUGCAGAAUUCAGUGAAUCAUCGAAUCUUUGAACGCACCUUGCACCCUUUGGUAUUCCGAAGGGUAUGCUCGUUUGAGUGUCAUUGUACUCUCACACUUCUAAUUCCUUUCGGGAUUGGGAGCGGUGGACUUGGGUGUUGCUGCUUUAGUUGUGGCUCACCUCAAAUAAGUUAGUGCAACUCUUGGUUGGACAUAGUACGGCGUGAUAAGUGUCUUCGCCGGCGCCUCUGUAAGGAGGGUGGCCGAUCGGGAGCUCUGUGCUUCAAACCGUCUUCGGACAAUCUUUGACAACUUGACCUCAAAUCGUGUAGGACUACCCGCUGAGCUUAAGCAUAUCAAUAAGCGGAGGA